rnacentral:rRNA from 1 species
UACGUAGGGGGCAAGCGUUAUCCAGAUUUACUGGGUGUAAAGGGAGCGCAGACGGAACUGCAAGUCUGAUGUGAAAGCCCGGGGCUCAACCGCGGGACUGCAUCGGAUACUGUGGAUCUGGAGUGCCGGAGGGGCAAGCGGAAUUCCUGGUGUAGCGGUGAAAUGCAUAGAUAUCACGAGGAACUCCGAUUGCGCAGGCAGCUUACUAAACUACUACUGACGCUCAGGCACGAAGGCGUGGGGAUCAAACAGGA